CAGUCGAGGGGCAGCGGGGAGGAAGCUUGCUUUCUCCGCCGGCGACCGGCGCACGGGUGAGUAACACGUAUGCAACCUGCCCCUGUCAGGGGGACAACCCGCCGAAAGGCGGGCUAAACCCGCGUACAUGCCACCGGGGCAUCCCGGAGGCAGGAAAGGCUUCGGCCGGACAGGGAUGGGCAUGCGGCGCAUUAGGCAGUAGGCGGGGUAACGGCCCACCUAACCGACGAUGCGUAGGGGUUCUGAGAGGAAGGUCCCCCACACUGGUACUGAGACACGGACCAGACUCCUACGGGAGGCAGCAGUGAGGAAUAUUGGUCAAUGGUCGGGAGACUGAACCAGCCAAGCCGCGUGAGGGAGGAAGGUACAGAGUAUCGUAAACCUCUUUUGUCAGGGAACAAAGGCGGGGACGUGUCCCCGGAUGAGUGUACCUGAAGAAAAAGCAUCGGCUAACUCCGUGCCAGCAGCCGCGGUAAUACGGAGGAUGCGAGCGUUAUCCGGAUUUAUUGGGUUUAAAGGGUGCGCAGGCGGUCUGUUAAGUCAGCGGUCAAAGCCCGGGGCUCAACCCCGGCCCGCCGUUGAAACUGGCAGUCUCGAGUUGGAGAGAAGUAUGCGGAAUGCGCGGUGUAGCGGUGAAAUGCAUAGAUAUCGCGCAGAACUCCGAUUGCGAAGGCAGCAUGCCGGCUCCACACUGACGCUGAGGCACGAAAGCGUGGGUAUCGAACAGGAUUAGAUACCCUGGUAGUCCACGCAGUAAACGAUGAAUGCUGGCUGUCCGGGGGGACUGACCCCUGGGUGGCGAAGCGAAAGCG
rnacentral:rRNA from 1 species